rnacentral:rRNA from 1 species
AACGAACGCUGGCGGCAUGCCUAACACAUGCAAGUCGAACGCCUGUAGCAAUACAGGAGUGGCGCACGGGUGAGUAACGCGUGGGAACCUGCCUAGUGGUAAGGAAUAACCGCGGGAAACUGCGGCUAAUACCUUAUGAGCCCUACGGGGGAAAGAUUUAUCGCCAUUAGAGGGGCCCGCGUCCGAUUAGCUAGUUGGUGAGGUAACGGCUCACCAAGGCUCCGAUCGGUAGCCGGUCUGAGAGGAUGAUCAGCCACACUGGGACUGAGACACGGCCCAGACUCCUACGGGAGGCAGCAGUGGGGGAGUAUUGGACAAUGGGGGCAACCCUGAUCCAGCAAUGCCGCGUGAGUGAUGAAGGCCUUAGGGUUGUAAAGCUCUUUCGACGGGGAAGAUGAUGACGGUACCCGUAGAAGAAGCCCCGGACUAACUUCGUGCCAGCA